rnacentral:rRNA from 1 species
UGCAGUCGAACGGUCCACUUCGGUGGAUAGUGGCGAACGGGUGAGUAACGCGUUGGUGACCUGCCCCAAAGUGAGGGAUAACGGCUCGAAAGGGCUGCUAAUACCCCAUGUGGUCGCGAAGGUUAGAGACUUCGAGACUAAAGCAGAAAUGCGCUUUGGGACGGGCCUGCGUCCCAUCAGCUAGUUGGUAGGGUAAUGGCCUACCAAGGCGACGACGGGUAGGGGGCCUGAGAGGGUGGCCCCCCACAAUGGAACUGAAACACGGUCCAUACACCUACGGGUGGCAGCAGUAGGGAAUAUUGCACAAUGGGCGAAAGCCUGAUGCAGCAACGCCGCGUGCGCGAUGAAGGCCUUCGGGUCGUAAAGCGCUUUUCGGGGAGAUGAGGAAGGACAGUAUCCCCGGAAUAAGUCUCGGCCAAUUACGUGCCAGCAGCCGCGGUAACACGUAUGGGGCGAGCGUUGUUCGGAAUCAUUGGGCGUAAAGGGCGCGUAGGCGGAUGUGAAAGCUUGGUGUGAAAUACCGCAGCUCAACUGCGGAGGCGCGCUGGGAACUGCGCAUCUAGAGUUCAAGAGGGGAAGCUGGAAUUCCUGGUGUAGGGGUGAAAUCUGUAGAUAUCAGGAAGAACAUCAGUGGCGAAGGCGAGCUUCUGGCUAUGAACUGACGCUGAGGCGCGAAAGCGUGGGGAGCGAACAGGAUUAGAUACCCUGGUAGUCCACGCUGUAAACGAUGUGCACUAGGUGUUGGGCCGCUGAAGGUCCAGUGCCGUAGCUAACGCGUUAAGUGCACCGCCUGGGGGAGUAUGCUCGCAAGGGUGAAACUCAAAGGAAUUGACGGGGGGCCCGCACAAGCGGUGGGAGCAUGUGGUUUAAUUCGAUGAUACGCGAGGAACCUUACCAGGGCUUGACAUAUACCCGGAGUGCGCAUGAAAAGUGUGCAGCCCUUUCGGGGCCGGGUAUACAAGGUGCUUGCAUGGCUUGUCGUCCAGCUCCGUGCCCGUGAAGGUGGUUGGGGUUAA